UACGGAGGGUGCAAGCGUUAUCCGGAUUCACUGGGUUUAAAGGGUGCGUAGGUGGGGAGGUAAGUCAGCGGUGAAAUCCCCGAGCUUAACUUGGGAACUGCCAUUGAUACUAUCUUUCUUGAAUACCUUGGAGGUGAGCGGAAUAUGUCAUGUAGCGGUGAAAUGCUUAGAUAUGACAUAGAACACCAAUUGCGAAGGCAGCUCACUACACGGUCAUUGACACUGAGGCACGAAAGCGUGGGGAUCAAACAGG
rnacentral:rRNA from 1 species